rnacentral:rRNA from 1 species
GGCGAGCGGGUGUGUAACACGUGAGUAACCUGCCCUUGACUUUGGGAUAACUUCAGGAAACUGGGGCUAAUACCGGAUAGGAGCUCCUGCUGCAUGGUGGGGUUGGAAAGUUUCGGCGGUUGGGGAUGGACUCGCGGCUUAUCAGCUUGUUGGUGGGGUAGUGGCUUACCAAGGCUUUGACGGGUAGCCGGCCUGAGAGGGUGACCGGCCACAUUGGGACUGAGAUACGGCCCAG